rnacentral:rRNA from 1 species
AACUCAUCAACCCUGUGAACAUACCUAAAACGUUGCUUCGGCGGGAACAGACGGCCCUGUAACAACGGGCCGCCCCCGCCAGAGGACCCCUAACUCUGUUUUUAUAAUGUUUUUCUGAGUAAACAAGCAAAUAAAUUAAAACUUUCAACAACGGAUCUCUUGGCUCUGGCAUCGAUGAAGAACGCAGCGAAAUGCGAUAAGUAAUGUGAAUUGCAGAAUUCAGUGAAUCAUCGAAUCUUUGAACGCACAUUGCGCCCGCCAGUAUUCUGGCGGGCAUGCCUGUUCGAGCGUCAUUACAACCCUCAGGCCCCCGGGCCUGGCGUUGGGGAUCGGCAGAAGCCCCCUGUGGGCACACGCCGUCCCUCAAAUACAGUGGCGGUCCCGCCGCAGCUUCCAUUGCGUAGUAGCUAACACCUCGCAACUGGAGAGCGGCGCGGCCAUGCCGUAAAACACCCAACUUCUGAAUGUUGACCUCGAAUCAGGUAGGAAUACCCGCUGAACUUAAGCAUAUCAAUAAGCCGGAGGAA